rnacentral:rRNA from 1 species
UACAGAGGUCCCGAGCGUUGCUCGGAUUCAUUGGGCGUAAAGGGUGCGUAGGCGGUCUUCUAAGUUUGAUGUGAAAUUCCGGGGCUCAACCCUGGCAUGGCAUUGAAUACUGGAGGACUAGAGUACCGGAGAGGAAACUGGAAUUUACGGUGUAGCAGUGAAAUGCGUAGAGAUCGUAAGGAAGACCAGUGACGAAGGCGAGUUUCUGGACGGUAACUGACGCUGAGGCACGAAGGCCAGGGGAGCAAACGGG